GACGAACGCUGGCGGCGUGCUUAACACAUGCAAGUCGAACGAUGAAGAAGAGAAACGCGAACUUCGGUUCAAAUUUCACUUCGGAUUAGUGGCAGACGGGUGAGUAACGCGUGAGCAACCUACCUCUUACAAAGGGAUAGCCUCGGGAAACCGUGAUUAAUACCAUAUGACACAUUCAUAAGGCAUCUUAAGAAUGUUAAAGCUACGGCGGUAAGAGAUGGGCUCGCGUGCCAUUAGCUAGUUGGUGAGGUAACGGCCCACCAAGGCGACGAUGGGUAACCGGCCUGAGAGGGUGAACGGUCACAUUGGAACUGAGACACGGUCCAAACUCCUACGGGAGGCAGCAGUGGGGAAUAUUGCACAAUGGAGGGAACUCUGAUGCAGCGACGCCGCGUGAGCGAUGAAGGAAUUCGUUUCGUAAAGCUCUGUUCUAUGGGAAGAAAAGGACUGUACCAUAGGAGAAAGCCCCGGCUAAAUACGUG
rnacentral:rRNA from 1 species